CUCACUCUGACCUUCCUCCCUACAAAGUUGUGUGCUUCUCCUUUUCCUUAUGCCAUGAUUGUUAAGUUUCCUGAGGCCUCCCCAGCAAUGCAGAACUGUAAUUAUCCAGUUGAUAUUUAUCUUGUUCCAGUCACCUUUAGAAAGCUGUUUGGCAAGGGCAGUGACUGGAAGCUGGGAGAGAGGGUCAACAGCUGAAUCUC
rnacentral:lncRNA from 10 species